CCCCUGCUGAACAAGAUAUGUUCUACACUUAUAUUGAUGUCAGUCACCUGAAGAAAACUUCCCCAGCUCCCCCACCGAAUCCAAACAAUAAUGAAAUAAUUUACUCUCAGGUGAUGCCCAGCAAAUGAUCAGCUCUCCCACCCAGACCCUGCCGGCAUGUCCCCAGCAGCUUCCCCUGCCUGUAUGUAGAGCUACCUCUUCUGUAUUCUGAUGGCAGGGACACUAGGAUUCAGAGAUAGAGAUAGAGGCUCCUUUUUCAAAGUUUCUGUUUAGGAAUUAACUGGUGAGGGCAGAUUUCUGUGAAGAGGACCCCACAGUUCAGGCCCCCUUGUAGGGUUUGCUUCCUCUGUAGUUAUGAGCCUGCUAUUGAUUUUGGAUAUUGUUGUUCCCUUUAUAGGAAAACUUGUUUUUCAGUCGUUUGUAACAAAUAUAUUUUUGCUAUACACUGUAUAUUUCUUUGAAAAGUGUUAUUGUUCUUACUGUAAAUGAUAAAGACAUUAUAAACUGUGACCAUAUAAAGGCACAAGGCUGCAGGCUGAGUUAU